AGCGAACGCUGGCGGCAGGCCUAACACAUGCAAGUCGAACGAAGUCUUCGGACUUAGUGGCGGACGGGUGAGUAACACGUGGAACGUACCUUUUGGUUCGGAACAACUCAGGGAAACUUGAGCUAAUACCGGAUGAGCCCUUAGGGGGAAAGAUUUAUCGCCGAAAGAGCGGCCCGCGUUAGAUUAGCUAGUUGGUGAGGUAAAGGCUCACCAAGGCUACGAUCUAUAGCGGGUCUGAGAGGAUGAUCAGCCACACUGGGACUGAGACACGGCCCAGACUCCUACGGGAGGCAGCAGUGGGGAAUCUUGCGCAAUGGGCGAAAGCCUGACGCAGCCAUGCCGCGUGAAUGAUGAAGGUCUUAGGAUUGUAAAAUCCUUUUACCAGGGACGAUAAUGACGGUACCUGGAGAAAAAGCCCCGGCUAACUUCGUGCCAGCCGCCGCAGUAAGAC
rnacentral:rRNA from 1 species